GACGAACGCUGGCGGCGUGCUUAACACAUGCAAGUCGAACGGAAAGGCCCUGCUUUUGUGGGGUGCUCGAGUGGCGAACGGGUGAGUAACACGUGAGUAACCUGCCCUUGACUUUGGGAUAACUUCAGGAAACUGGGGCUAAUACCGGAUAGGAGCUCCUGCUGCAUGGUGGGGGUUGGAAAUUUUCGGCGGUUGGGGAUGGACUCGCGGCUUAUCAGCUUGUUGGUGGGGUAGUGGCUUACCAAGGCUUUGACGGGUAGCCGGCCUGAGAGGGUGACCGGCCACAUUGGGCCUGAGAUACGGACCAGACUCCUACGGGAGGCAGCAGUGGGGAAUAUUGCACAAUGGGCGGAAGCCUGAUGCAGAAACGCCGCGUGCGGGAUGACGGCCUUCGGGUUGUAAACCGCUUUCGCCUGUGACGAAGCGUGAGUGACGGUAAUGGGUAAAGAAGCACCGGCUAACUACGUG
rnacentral:rRNA from 1 species